ACUCCUCUGGAGCUUACCCUAUUGGACUUAACCUGGCAAAUAAGGACGAAUGCUCAUUGAACAUAUGGCUGUUCUGCUUAAUGUGAAGGUUCUCCUGUGAUAGGGAAGUACCUUUGAGCAGCUGGGUAGACUUGGACUUGCAGGUACAUCCUCCAGGGAAAGAAGAGUGAAAAUUCAUGACAAGACUGAAAUUGCAAUUAACCGGAUGAUUGGUUCCCACAAAGAACGAAGAUAAAAGAGGAAUAUCAGGCCAAUUACCUGGUGUUGAGUCUACAGCAGCAUUCCCACCCGAGAGAUGCAUUUACUGAUGAAGAACAACCAUGACAAAGUGCUACUGAAGGCAGCAUCAUGCCACCCAGACUCUAACACUUCACAGUUUUUGAGACAAGAUUCACAAAAAGGAAAGGAAUGCAACAAAUAAAGCAGUGCCUCUAAUUUUCAAUAAAUGUCUGAAAGAUGUGAGGUGUAGCUGUUUGUUGUGAGUAGGACAUAAAUUCAAGAAAUCAUACAUGAUACUAGAGACAGUUGGAACCAUCUUUGGGGAAGCCCAGUGGUCUUCUCACUGCUCUGGCUCUGGCUUGGUUGAAAGUGAGUCACAGUUUUGCUGCAGUAACCAGCAACAUUCCUUGGACAUGCAGCUUUCACAAACGAAGAGCAUUCGAUUAUGGUUUUGGGUUUUUUUGCUUCCAAAAAAGUAUAACAUUCUUGGGAGUUUUCCAGGUCAAGCUGAGGAGGCAGAUGGUCAGUGUUGGCACCGUGGCCAGUCAGAGCCUUGCAGAAAUGCACCUUCAAAGCACUCAUUUUAAUGGAGGCUCCACCUGUGGUCAAAUCUGUUGAGAGCCAUUUUUAUUUACCAAAUGUUGAAUGAUUGAGUCACUGUCCUGAAAAAUGAUUGCAUUUCUGUAAUACUUUCAUCAAAGAAAGCAAAUAAGCUCUUCAGAAUCAUAGCUUUAAUGACAGUUGUGCAAUUCAUAAAUUUUAAAUAAAGUCCCUAAUUGGCUGGCUGUGAAGUAGAAAGAGACUCGCUGCAGUGAAUGGUUUAAAUGCAGCAAUUACUGUAUUUCUUAUUCUUUGCCAAUCUAAAAUUAAUGAAAAACCUUUCUUGCUCUGACCUUGACAAAUGGUAGUGUAAUCUUUUUCGAUUCUCAGAGGGUGCUGAAUUCUACCCUCUGAGAAAGUGAUGUAAAGGAAUUGCAGCUGAACAUUUAUAAUUAGUAAACGGAAACCCUGUGACAGGGAAGAAAGCUAAAAGGCACUGAUUGGAUUUAACAUAUAUUAGACACCAUCCCCGAGGAAUAGAAUUGGAAGUUAGCUCUGAGUAUUUUAAUUUUCGCAUAUCUGAUUAUCUUUGGGCAUCACUGAAUCCUGCAUUAUUGAAUUGUCUGCAAAAUUGAUGUGAACCGGCUAGAAUUCACCCAAGGUGAAGGGUGAUCCUGUAAAAUAUUGGGUAUGUUCAACUCCUACUGCUCUGAGGAAAUGGUUAACUCCUCAGGGAAUGGGACAGAGAGUGCAGCUUCACAGCACAAGGUCUGACAUUUGCACUGGAGAUAUUUCACCUAUUGCUGGCAUUCCUUAGGGGUUAUGACAUGGACGUACAGCACAUUUAAACCAGCUUUAAACCCUUGUACAUACCAGGGUGGUAUGAGGGAAUCUGGAGCCUCUAUGUUAAAAUCUCGUUUAGGUAAGUAUAACUUCCAUGUAGGUAUAAAAUAGUGCUGGGUUACUAAAAGUGAUUUGUUGAUUUGACACCAUGAAUACUCCCAGGAGACUCAAAAAUCCCUAGAACAUUCUUUUCUUUUCCUGAUAGGUCACAACUGUGGGGUAUAAUGAUUCUAACUAUGCUGUAUUUUAUCAGCUCUAUUUUUAUUCCUUCUAAGAGGCAAAGAAUCUUUGGGUGAUAGAUAAACAAGAGAAACCAGUACAAACUUGUACUUUCCCCUUCAUAGAUUUUUGUAUUGCUAAAUCCUAUUUUCAACCACUGGACUGUCUAAAUUGUCUAGGAUGGUACAAUUUACUUUCAAGUGGUGGUACAAUUUCUGUUAUCAUUCCCUGAUUUCUUGGAUAAGACAGAAAAUUUUCAAUCCCUUUUGAGAAGCUGAAUUUAUUUAGCAAUUCAUAUCCUGACAAUGCUCCUUAUUAUGAGUCCCACCUCCUUGACUUCUUUCUGAUAAGAAAACCAAGUGCAAAUACAGGUCAGAAGAACUUAUACCCAAAUUCCCUGUCCUUUGCAUGGAGCAUAUGAAAAUUUUCAGUGUAAUUAAGGAGACUCUGAAAGGUUAGUGGAGCAGGUCUUUCUAACAUUAAUUUUUAUU